GAUCUAUAACAUGACAGCUGGAAUCAGCAGAUGUAAACUUUUAUAUACGCACCAUUAAUGCUGAAGAGAAGAGAUUACGCGAUGGAUAAUUUCAUCAGAGCUGGAAGCUAUUUUUAAAGUCACAUAAGGGGUCAGUGAGGUGGGUGAGUGGAUGAAGGUGAGUGUGUAAACCCUGGCGGCUUGAGUGUAGUCCUAGGGACCCAUAUGGUGGACAGAGAGCCAACCCCUUUCUAAGUUUCCUUGACCUCCACCUGCACACUGUAGCAUGUGUCCACCCACCCGACACACACACACACACACAAAUGUAAGUUGUUUUCUUGGUUUUUUGUUUGUUUGUUUGUUUGUUUUGAGAAACGGUCUCUCUAUAUAACCUCAGCUAUCCUGGAACUCACUAAGUAGACCAGCCUGGCCUCGAAUUCACAACGAUCUGUCUGCCUCUGCCCCCCCCCUCAAGUACUGGGAUUAAAGUGUAUAUCACCAUUCCCAGAUAGAUAAAUGUAAUUUAAAAGUCACAUAAAAUUAUAAAACUACUAUGAUCAAUGAAACAAGGCUCUCAAUUGUCAGACUUACCAACCAAUUAAAGAGAAACAAGCAAGAUUAUGGAAUAGAAUAUAAGCCAAUUUAAAAUAUUUAGACUGAAGAAGAGCCAGAAGCUAAAGCACUCUCAGGCUGAGGUAACAGGAUCAAUGUGAGCUCAAAGCCAGCCUCGCUGUCAACUUGACUGCAUUUGUAAUCAACUAAAAGCCAAACAGCUGGGCACAACUCUGGGGGAUUUUACUGACUGGAUCCUUUUAGGUGGGAAGACCAGCCUGAUCUGGGCCACACUCGUUGGCGGCAGCCCACAUAAUUAAAAGGACAUGGAAGAAGGGAGCAUUUGCUUUGCCCCUGCUUCUCUCACUGGUAAGUUCACCAUCCUGCUGCUGUGGCAUUCCUUCUCUGGAUUAGAACUUACUUCUUCAGGAUUCCAGAACAAGACCAGCUAAGAGAUCCAGCCUCACGGACUAAACAGCUAUCAGGUUCUUGGCCUCUCUGUCAGGGGACAGCCAUUGUUGGACUAGUCAGACCGCAACCUGUAAGCCAUUUUGUGUGUGUUUGUGUGUGUGUGUGUGUGUGUGUAUGGGUGUGUAUAUGUAUGUGUGUAUGUGUGUGUACAUGUGUGUGUGUGUUGGGCAUAACAUAAUUACAUAUUAUGUUAACAGUUAUAUGUUAUGCACAAUAUAUUAAUGUAUGUAUUACAAGAGGAUUUAUUAGAAAUAUAUGUUACACACAAUACAUAUAUAUUCCCCCUCCCCUCUGGAAAACCCUAAUACAGCUACAGAAAAAAAGAAAAAAAAAGCAGGAAUUCUAUACUUAACAAAAAAUAUCUUUCAAAAAAAUUAAGACAGUUAAGCAAAUACUGAAAAUGUCACCAUAAGAUUUGUACUAAAAGAAAACUCUUCCAGGGAAUUCUCAAUAUGCUUCUACACUGCAGUAAGAAAAGGUCUAACGUUAGUCCCAGGAGGAAAGAGAGACACAAGACACAAACUGGAAAUAUAAAAACAAUUAACUUUGAAAGAUGACAAAAGGCAAGAAGUAACAUGGCUAACCCUAAAUGAAUACUGACUUUGUAAUAAUGCCUGCUGUGUUUUCAAAUUCAGAGAACCGACCCCAGAAAAGACCAGCCUCAGGCAGGGUGGAGUGAAAGACAGUGUGGACUUGGUGUGCGCAGCGAACGGUGCAAGUGCUCACAAGGCAGGCCUCAGGCAGCCCGGAAUCCUUACUGAGAUCAGGGCACCUCUAAAACAAGGGACUCACUGAGACUAAAUGGUUUGUUAUCAUUUGUAGCAGCAAAAUAAAAACUGAGGAGGGAAGUGGUGGACUUACCUCAGGGAAGGCAGACCAAUAGAAAAACUGCAAGAUGCUACAUUGUAACCAGGUGCUUGUGGGCAGGGGUUGGGUGCACGGGGGAUGACCACCGUUAUCCCAGCAAGCAGGAGGCUGAGGCAGGAGACUGCAAGUUUGAAGCCAGCCUGGGCAAUGCUAUGCGAUGGUUAAUCCUCACUGUCAACUUGACCAGUUCGAGAAUCACCUAGAAGCACACCUCUGGGUGCAUCCAUGAAGCCUUUUCCAAGACAGCUAACCAGAAGGAAAGCUUCACCCUGAAUAUGGGUGCCACCAAAGUAAACGAAAGGAAACAAAGAGGCUGGGUGGGGUCAGCAUUCCCCAGUCUCUGCUUCCUGGGACGCUAAGACGUGCAACACACCCCAGCCACUGAGACCUCUGCCGUGCACUCCCCAUCAUGAAGGACUGCACCUUCAGACUCGGAGCCUGGGUAAGUCCUCCCACCUCAAGCUGUUUCUAUGGAGUCCUCUCCCAGUGGGAGAUUAGUGACAAAUGCACUCUCAAAUACACAGAAACGCAACAACAUCAAAAGGCACACUUAGGUCAAAUACCUCAGACAUAGCCAUAUUUUUAAAUGACCUAAUUUCUCUUUAACAAUUCAAAUAUUGCAUGCCCACUGUGGUGACACCUGAGGUGUAGGGAUGUAGACAGGUUCAAACUGAAGGUAUACUGAGAGCAACCACCAACCAGAAGGACCUAGAAGUAGGAAACGCAUAGCUUGAGAAAGUAUUAACAAAAGCAGCAUAUAUUUUACUCGAUGUUUAGAAACCAGAGACUUUCCUAACAGGGGAACAAAACAAGGAUGUUUCCUCCCGCUCCUACUCUUCGGCUUCACACUGGGAGUGGUCCUAGCUAAUUCAAUAAGAAAACUCAAUGAGAGGCAUAUAGAUUAGGAAAAUCGCUUUGUUUACAGGUGGCCUGAGUGCUGAUGCAGAAAACCCCAAACCACCAACAAAGAAACUCCCAAAAGGAAUAAACCCCAUGGCAAGGCUGUGCCAGGAGCUUGUACACAAACGUGGAGGAAAUGUUGGCAAACACUACACUGAACACAGGACUGUGCUCCAAAGCACAUGAAGAACUAUUGGGACAACAUGAAAACAACCCUAUUUUAAAACGAACCAGAGUUCUUCACAGACAUCCCAUGAAAUAAGACAUGCAGGCAGUGAGCAUGCCCAUCAUAUCCCAGUGGGAAAAUGGAAGUUAAAACAGGAAGCCACCACACACCUGUCAGCAUGGCCAAGAUGGGAAAACCGACAACACCAAAUGCCACCUAGGAAGUGAAAGGGGAACUCUCAUCCACAGCUAACAGUAAUGCAAAGCGGCUUGUGAAGCCUGCAUGUCGGUUGACAGCUUCUUACGAAACUAAUUAUACUUUUGUUAUAAAAAGAAACAAUUGUGCUUCUGUAUGGGCAGAAGGCAAAACUGGUGUGGAUGUUUAUAACAGCUUUAUUCAUAAUUAUCAAAGCCAGGCGCACUCCAGGUGCCCUUUGGUAAGCAAGUGGGUGGAUGAGCUGUCACAUGUCGAGACAACAGAAAUCUACCAGCUGGGCAUGACCUUUAAUCCCAGCACUCAGGAGACAGAGGCAAGAUCUCUGUGAGUUUGAGGCCAGCCCGCUCUACGAGGUGAGUCCAGUCCAGCAAGAAUUAAAUGAGCCAUCUCCCCAGCCCUCAGACACUGUUUUAAAUAUAUGUAGUUUAAAAUUGUUUAGAUAUAAUUCACAAACAAAAGAACUAUCAUUUUGAAAUGACCCAUUACAUGACUCGUAUAGCAGCCGAUCCCUGUUCUCUCUCUCAGCCUGCAGCAACCAUGAAUGCACUUUCUGUCUUUGGAUUUUCCCGUGCUAUGUAUUUCGUGUGUGGAAUAAUGUCAUGAGUAGCAUUUUUGUUGUGUAGCAUGUUUUCAGUGUUAUCAUAUGUAUCACAAUGUUGUUCUUCCUGAUGGUUGAGUAUUAUUCCACUGUAUACAUGCAUCACAUUUUGUCUGUUAACCUGUUGCGUUGCAUGUACUCCUUAGCCGUUAAGAGUUAAAGCUGCUGUAAAUAUUAUCAAAGGUGGGUAUUUUCUAAAGCCUGUAUUUGAUAUUCAUUUCCAGCAAGUUUUGCUUUUCUUUUCUUUGGACUUAAUUUUUAUUUACUUGUAUGUGUGUUUGUAUAUUCGCCACACGUGUGCAAAUGCCAGAAGAGGGAGCUGGAUUCCUUGGAGCUGGAGUAAGAAGCAGUUGAGCCUUGUGAGCUGCGUGAUGUGGACGCCAGGAUCCCAUCCAGACACCUCUGGAAGCCAGGGUGUGUCUGCGUGCUGCACGCAUGCCUGGUGCCCACAGAGGCCAGAAGAGGACGUCAGAUCCUCUGGAACUAGAGUUACAGAUAGCUGUGAGCAACCAUGUAGGCCUGGCGCCCAUGUUUUAAAAGCCAGGCAGUAAGAAGAUUGCUGGGAGCCUGCGGAGCUCUAAGUUCUGUGAGAAACCCAGUCUCAAGGGAGGCAGAGAAUGACAGAGAGGGACACCCAGCAUCCCCAUUUGUUUGACACACAUAUGAACAGGCACAUGCUCCCCACCACGUACAUACACACACUCACACACAUGUACACACAAUGUUGUGGAGGUUAAGAGAGGGUGGAGCUGCAGCCCCGUGGGUAGAGUGCUUGUCUAGCAUGCAGAAGACCCCGAGUUCCACCCCAGCACUGCCCACACAGGUCAUCUCAGGCUCUGGAAGGUUGUGACAGGAUGAGGAAUUCAAGCUCAUCCUCAGCCACACAGAGUGUGCGGCCAUCUCUCAAUUACAUGGGACCCUUAAAAAAAAACAGAAGUAAAAGAAAUAUAAAAUCUA